rnacentral:rRNA from 1 species
UACAGAGGGUGCGAGCGUUGUUCGGAAUUACUGGGCGUAAAGGGCGCGCCGGCGGCUUUCUAAGUCCGUCGGUGAAAGACCGGGGCUCAACCCCGUGUCAGCCAUGGAUACUGGGAGGCUGGAGCCAGGUAGAGGCAAGCGGAAUUCCGGGUGUAGCGGUGGAAUGCGUAGAUAUCCGGAAGAACACCGGAGGCGAAGGCGGCUUGCUGGACCUGGUCUGACGCUGAGGCGCGAAAGCCAGGGGAGCAAACGGG